UUUAAGCAUAUAAAUAAGCGGAGGAGAAGAAACUUACGAGGAUUCCCCUAGUAACGGCGAGCGAACCGGGACGAGCCCAGCUUGAGAAUCGGGCGGCGGCGUCGCCCGAGUUGUGGUCUGGAGAAGCGUCCUCAGCGACGGACCGGGCCCAAGUCCCCUGGAAAGGGGCGCCGGGGAGGGUGAGAGCCCCGUCCGGCCCGGACCCUGCCGCACCACGAGGCACUGUCGGCGAGUCGGGUUGUUUGGGAACGCAGCCCAAAUCGGGCGGUAAACUCCGUCCAAGGCUAAAUACGGGCGAGAGACCGAUAGCGAACAAGUACCGCGAGGGAAAGAUGAAAAGGACUUUGAAAAGAGAGUCAAAGAGUGCUUGAAAUUGUCGGGAGGGAAGCGGAUGGGGGCCGGCGAUGCGCCCCUGCCGGAUGCGGAACGGCUCGGGCCGGUCCGCCGCUCGGCUCGGGGCGUGGGCCGUCGUCGGCUGCGCCGGCGGCCAAAGCCCGGGCGGGUUACAUCCCGCCCCGGAGUCCGUCGUCGGCAAGGCCGGCGCGCGCGCGCCAUGGCGUGCCCCUCGGGGCACGGGCGCGAAGGACGGCCUGCGGGCUCCCCAUCCGACCCGUCUUGAAACACGGACCAAGGAGUCUGACAUGCGUGCGAGUCGACGGGCGCGAAAACCCGGGAGGCGCAAGGAAGCUGACGAGCGGGAACCCCCUCGGGGGGGCAGCACCGCCGGCCGACCCCGAUCUUCUGUGAAGGGUUCGAGUCGGAGCACGCCUGUCGGGACCCGAAAGAUGGUGAACUAUGCCUGAGCGAGGCGAAGCCAGAGGAAACUCUGGUGGAGGCCCGAAGCGAUACUGACGUGCAAAUCGUUCGUCUGACUUGGGUAUAGGGGCGAAAGACUAAUCGAACCAUCUAGUAGCUGGUUCCCUCCGAAGUUUCCCUCAGGAUAGCUGGAGCCCGUUCGAGUUCUAUCGGGUAAAGCCAAUGAUUAGAGGCAUCGGGGGCGCAACGCCCUCGACCUAUUCUCAAACUUUAAAUAGGUAGGACGGCGUGGCUGCUCCGAUGAGCCGCGCCUCGGAAUCGAGAGCUCCAAGUGGGCCAUUUUUGGUAAGCAGAACUGGCGAUGCGGGAUGAACCGGAAGCCGGGUUACGGUGCCGAACUGCGCGCUAACCUAGAACCCACAAAGGGUGUUGGUCGAUU
rnacentral:rRNA from 1 species